UACGGAGGGUGCAAGCGUUAUCCGGAUUUACUGGGUUUACAGGGUGCGUAGGUGGACAAGUAAGUCAGUGGUGACAUCUCCGGGCUUAACCCGGAAACUGCCAUUGAUACUAUUUGUCUUGAAUACUUUGGAGGUAAGCGGAAUAUGUCAUGUAGCGGUGAAAUGCUUAGAUAUGACAUAGAACAACAAUUGCGAAGGCAGCUUACGACACAGUGAUUGACACUGAGGCACGAAAGCGUGGGGAGCAAACAGG
rnacentral:rRNA from 1 species